AUCCUACGGGAGGCUGCAGUGGGGAAUUUUGGACAAUGGGCGAAAGCCUGAUCCAGCCAUUCCGCGUGAGUGAAGAAGGCCUUCGGGUUGUAAAGCUCUUUCGGCAGGAACGAAACGGUGGGGGCUAAUAUCCUCUGCUAAUGACGGUACCUGAAGAAGAAGCACCGGCUAACUACGUGCCAGCAGCCGCGGUAAUACGUAGGGUGCGAGCGUUAAUCGGAAUUACUGGGCGUAAAGCGUGCGCAGGUGGUUGUUUAAGACAGAUGUGAAAUCCCCGGGCUUAACCUGGGAACUGCGUUUGUGACUGGACAGCUAGAGUGCGGCAGAGGGGGGUGGAAUUCCACGUGUAGCAGUGAAAUGCGUAGAGAUGUGGAGGAACACCGAUGGCGAAGGCAGCCCCCUGGGCCAGCACUGACGCUCAUGCACGAAAGCGUGGGGAGCAAACAGGAUUAGAUACCCCGGUAGUCUAG
rnacentral:rRNA from 1 species